ensembl:lncRNA
GGGAAUCCUUUAAUACCUUGAUGAUCUACUGGAAGUAGUCUGCUCUGAUUUUUUGUCCUUUGCAGAAAACAGUUUUUACUGCAAUUUCUGAAGCUCAGACUUACAUGUAAAAUUAUUUCACUCAAACACUAUAAUACUGUAAAAAUUCACUAAGAAAAUAUUUAUGAAUUGGGGCUGUUUAGUCUGGGGAGGAGGAGGCUGAGGGGAGACCUUAUUGCUCUCGUUCAAUAUCUGAAAGGUAAAGGUUCAAAAUCUGAAAGGAAAGCUUACAGGGAGAGCAGGGUUGGUCUCUUCUCACUGGUGACAGGUGACAAGAUGAGGGGAAAUGGCCUCCAGUUGCGCCAGGGUAAGUUUAGGUUGGAUAUCAGGAAACACUUCUUUAUAGAAAGGGUUGUUAAGCACUGGAAUAGGCUCCCUAGGGAGGUGGUUGAGUCACCACCCCUGGACGUGUUUAAAAAUGGUUUGGAUGUGGUGUUCAUGGACAUGAUUUAGUGGAGGGUUGUUAGAGUUAGGGUAGUAUGGUUAGGUUGCAGUUGGACUUGAUGAUCUUUAAGGUCUUUUCCAACCUGAUCAGUUCUAUGAUUCUAUGAUUCUAUGUGUAUACAUAUUCCAUGUAAGCACCCAAGAUAACAUAGAUCUGCUUGGUAAUCCAUGUAGUUGUGUUCUUUUGGCAUGAGCCUGAAUAAAGUGUUGGAUGCCCAGAGGUGUGGUAGGAGGGCACUGGAAGGAGUCUGAAACUAAAGUUUGCAAGGAUAUUGUUGGAGGACUAUGUAUCCAAAUGUGAGCCAAUCUCAUCCUUCUUGCACUGUGCUGGCAUUUUGUUUUAGAGGAACUGUUUGGCUCACUACAGAGAAGGGCCUUGUAACAAAUGAAGACUUACAGAACAUGAAUUAUGAGGGAAUAUGGACACAGGAAUGAGCAAACUUAUUUGAUAGUGUCAAAGUAUCCAGGGAGGUCUGAAACAUGUUUGAUACUGCUUGGACAACUAAGAGCAUGGGAUCUUACUAAGCAUGUCUUUUUUUUUUUCUCCUGAUCUUGAACAUAACGCAUAUGAAAAGCACAAUCAUGAUCAGUAU